CUGGGCUGGACUUGAGGUUCACGGCCACAUGGUUCCCUGUGCAGCGCCCCGUGGGUCCCAGCAGACACAGCACCAUAAUGGGAGACUUCUAGGCCGAGAGGGCAAAAGCUUCAAACAGCAGGCGGCAGCACCAGCUGUGUGGUGGCUGGGAGCUGGUCUAGCCUCCGCCUUCCUUCCAGAAGUCUCCCCAGCAUCCUCAACCAGGUCAGAUCCCCCAGCAUGACUCAACAUCCCUUCGACUUCCCUUCUGCAGCCCUGGCAGGAGCUGUGUUGCAGCGGUGCCUGUUGCAUGUGGAAGUCUCCCUUCAAGGUUUGCAUCAUGGAACUCACCUGGCCCAACCUCUCAGGGAGGAAAAUUCCAACCAGAGAGGGUGCGUGUCCUGUCCCCAGCCUGGCUGCCAAUACUUGAGCACCCUCCUCAGAGAAGCCUCCCCGGAUUGCCCUCUGCCCAGCCCAGCCCAGCCCAGCCCUCCACUGCCUGCUCUGCGUCCUCUGGAACAGCGUGUGUUCAGUACUGCAGGGAUGUGAGCCCCAUGCAGGCAGGGAUUCGGCCUUGUUGUACCAGUGUCUGGGACAGUGCCUGGCACAACGUAGGUGCUCCAUAAACAUUUGUGGGAUGUACAAAUAAAUGAAGGUUAUUGAAUUCAAGCUCCUCCGUUACCCACCAAGUGAUCCUUGGAGCAGCAGUGCUUGCACUCCUCCAGCAACGGGGAACAUUCUACUCACCUCCCG
rnacentral:lncRNA from 10 species